rnacentral:misc_RNA from 1 species
AAGUCGUAACAAGGUCUCCGUUGGUGAACCAGCGGAGGGAUCAUUACCAGAGUGCCUUCAGGCUCUCCAACCCACUGUGAACAUACCUACGUUCCCCCGGCGGGCUCAGCGCGAGGCGGCUCCGGCCGCCCCGCGUCCGCCGAGGGCAUCUCAAACCCGAAUUUAUUCGUGUCUUCUGAGGGGCGAAAGCCCGUAAAACAAAAUGAAUCAAAACUUUCAACAACGGAUCUCUUGGUUCUG